rnacentral:rRNA from 1 species
UACGUAGGGUGCGAGCGUUAAUCGGAAUUACUGGGCGUAAAGCGUGCGCAGGCGGUUUUGUAAGCCAGAUGUGAAAUCCCCGGGCUUAACCUGGGAAUGGCAUUUGGGACUGCAAGGCUCGAGUGCGGCAGAGGAGACUGGAAUUCCUGGUGUAGCAGUGAAAUGCGUAGAUAUCAGGAGGAACACCGAUGGCGAAAGCGGCUUCCUGGUCCAGCACCGACGUUCAGGCACGAAAGCGUGGGGAGCAAACAGG